GAUGAACGCUGGCGGCGUGCCUAAUACAUGCAAGUCGAGCGAACAGAUGAGGAGCUUGCUCCUCCGACGUUAGCGGCGGACGGGUGAGUAACACGUGGAUAACCUAACUAUACGACUGGGAUAACUUCGGGAAACCGGAGCUACUACCGGAUAAUAUAUUGAACCGCAUGGUUCAAUAGUGAAAGACGGUUUUGCUGUCACUUAUAGAUGGCUCCGCGCCGCAUUAGCUAGUUGGUAAGGUAACGGCUUACCAAGGCAACGAUGCGUAGCCGACCUGAGAGGGUGAUCGGCCACACGGGAACGGAGACACGGUCCAGACUCCUACGGGAGGCAGCAGUAGGGAAUCUUCCGCAAUGGGCGAAAGCCUGACGGAGCAACGCCGCGUGAGUGAUGAUGGUCUUCGGAUCGGAAAACUCUGUUAUUAGUGAAGAACAAAUGUGUAAGUAACUAUGCACGUCUUGACGGUACCUAAUCAGAAAGCCACGGCUAACUACGUG
rnacentral:rRNA from 1 species